GAAAAUCAGAAAGGCGGACGAGACCCUGCGCCAGUUCGCUGACAUUGGGCAACAGGCGCACAGCGACGCGCGCACCACGCAAGCUCUCGAUGACCGCAUUGCGCCGUUUGGAAUCGAUGCCGGGCAUCGCGAGCAGGACGGUCCUCACGUUCAGUUUCGUGACAAGCUUCUUGAGGUCGCGAGGAUCGUAGACCCUGAUGCCGCCGAUAUAGGAUCCAUAGAGCGUCUGGUCGUCGUCCAGAUAACCGACGACUUUCAGUUCGGUGCCGUUUCCGAGGGCGGUGCCAAGCUGCCGGCCCAUCGAUCCGGCGCCAUAGAUCAGCACAUUCGAUAGACUCUUCUCCCGCAGAAUAUUCCGGUAUGUGCCGCCGAGCAGAUAGCGGGUGAGCAUGCGGGACAUGCCAACCGCGAUCAGCAGCAGCAGCGGCUGCAUGAUACCGACCGUACGCGGGAUGCCCGGAACGCUGAUGACGGUGAAAACCGUCAUGAAAAUCAGGCCAUAGAGAGAUAUGGCCUUGAUGAUCGCCAGAUAGGCAUCCCAACCGAUGAAACGGAAAAUCGCGCGGUACAAGCCGAAGCGAAUAAAGAUCGGCAAGGCGACGACAAGGCUAACCGGGAUCGUGACAAGCUGUAUCCCGGCCAGCGGACCCCAGGAAUCAAGCCGAAGGCAAAAGGCAAACCAAAGGGUAAGAACGCAAAGUGCCGCAUCGACAGUCAGGGCCAGCAAGCGCUUUAUCCACCGGGGAAAAGCGAGAACUGCCGGUAUGUAACGCUCCCAAACCAUCNNG
rnacentral:rRNA from 1 species